AUUGAACGCUGGCGGCAGGCCUAACACAUGCAAGUCGAGCGAGCGGCGGACGGGUGAGUAAUGUAUGGGGCCUGCCCGAUAGAGGGGGAUAACUACUGGAAACGGUGGCUAAUACCGUAUACUAACGGAUAACCCAUAUGGGAUUAGCUAGUAGGUGGGGUAAAGGCGCACCUAGGCGACGAUCUCUAGCUGGUCUGAGAGGAUGAUCAGCGACAGUGGGAGGGAGACACGGGCCAAAGUACUACGGAAGCAGCGAUGGGGAAUAUGGCGCAAUGGGCGCAAGCCUGAUGCAACCAUGCCGCGUGUAUGAAGGAGGACAUAGGGUUGUAAAGUACUUUCAGCGAGGAGGCGUUAGCCGCAGAAGAAGCACCGGCUAACUACGGGCCAGAAGCCGCGGUAAAAC
rnacentral:rRNA from 1 species